GCGUAGCUCACCUAGAGAGAGCGAGAGAUCUCGCACGCUCGCAGUCAAACCUGUGACAACCAUAGUGGCAACGCACUACUUUCCAUACAAAUAUGAAUAAUGAAGAUCUUAAGAAUAAUUGAUCUCUUUUCAAGUAACGUUAACAUGACAGAUGACUCUCAAACGAAAGAGCGUCUCUCAAACGGAGCGGAUUGGUUUCAUUGGCAAUGACGUCACACUGCUGUAACGGCAUUUAAUGAGCGGACUUUAUAUAAAAAGACGGAAAAUCGUUGUCUGUGUGAGAUGUGGUACAUUUACCGGAAAAGACAGUCAAAUUUUUAUAACAAUUUAAUGAGUUUCAUGAGUGAAAACGCCUGAUGUUUAUUUUAGCGGUUAACGUUAUUUCCCUCUGAAGAACGAACUGUUCCCUCAGACUAUUGUUAUUAUAAUUCAAAUUACCUAUCAUAAAAUUGUAUUACUUUUUCUUCAUAGGUUUAAAUGUCAUUUAUUUUUGUUGUCGGCCCAUACUUUUAAAAAGUAAUUUAACUAAAUCGGUUAAGUAAAGAGUAAUUCACCUCAGAAAAGCGCACUGCUGGGAUGUCACUCGAAGGGGAGUCAGGUGUGCGCGAGGUGCGCACAGACCCGGCUUAUAUAUGCCCCGCUGCCCGGUUCGCGGGCUUGGCACGCGACUAAGAAUUUAAAUAUUGAGAGAGUUUAUUUUCAUUUUUUUUUUUUUAUGUACAUUUAUAUAAUGAAACAUUGCAUUAACUUAGCAUUAAACGUCAAAAAAGAUGGGGUUUUCAAAUAGUGUGGUGUUUGUGUUUUCCUGCUAUUUUCAAAGCAAUGGUGUUAUCAAAAUAUAACAGUCACACAUUUUUUUUUUUUAAACUUCCUUCUUUUUCUCCCAGUUUGAGGGUCCCUCUUUGUUCAAUAUAAUUGAGCAACCCUAUAGGUGGCGAUGUACGCAUGCGAGUCGCCAAUAAGCCAAUAGAUGAAGAAGAGCUGAACGUGAUGGUUCAGAGAAUUCUGUCCUGAUGUUUGGCUGUGGUCCCUCCAUCAUCCAGACACUCUUCGGCAACUGGUCUUUGUAUGGAGGUCACCAUGAUGUAUACAGAUCUAGUUGUCUCUUCUCGCACAAACUCCAAUUUCGGGAGCUCCUACAAACUGGUGACCAUAUUGGUGAAUGAGAAUAGAGGGGAUUUGCUUGCAGAACAGAUGUUUACCUUCCUUCUGAGCCGAUUACAGAUUUGUCACUGCUGUCACUGGAAUGAUUGUCAUCUGACAAUAAUUUUGUGUAAUUUCUAUUCUUGGACCAUGAUUGUCCCUUGAACUUGAAUAUUUGUAUUCAUUUGUUCUGGUUUGUUUUCUGUUUUUCACCUCUGUCCUUUUAAUACAUAUUAAUUGAUAAUGUCAUCUGCUGUAGUAUGUAGUAUUACAUAUCACAAAUCAGUGAAUACUUUUCUUUCUUUUUUUCCAGUUUUGUGGUGUAAAGAACUAGAUGUGUUAUGGUAAAUUAAAUGUUAAUAAGAGGGUUUCUGUGGUUUGUGGUGUCUGUGUCUUAUGCACCAUUUCUGUAUAAAAUAGGUAAACAAUAGGUAAAAGUAAACUUAAUUUAAACAUUUUUGCAUAAAUACAAUGAACUUCGUUUAUACGUGAUAAGCCGAUACCUAUGCAUUUAAAAUUAGUCAAUAACUGAAUUUGGUUAUUGUUUCAAUCCAGUGUGCAAAUGUUUAAUCGGGUUGAAAAACCAUAGAUAGAAUUGUGAUCACUUGUAGAUAUAAUACAUAAGGACAGUUAUGCACUUGUUUUGUCUUAAUACUGCAUUUUACAAAUGGGAGAAAACCCUUUAUAUUCUUUGACCAAUAGUGUGUGGACACUUACCUUUGUUGAUCAUAAAUGACUUAAAAAUAGUACAGAUCAUAGGGAUUAAAUCUGAGCUUUUUUACAAAGCACUAGACAGCUGUUGCAGCCAAUUGGGUGUUGAAUAUGCUGAACGCUUUAGAUGUCUGAUACAUGAAGUCUACAAGUGUGUGUGCGUUUUUGUAUUUAUCUUAUCUUGCGCAAAGCAAAUUUAUGGUAUUAAUUUUUCAUUGUACAUUUAUGAAAUGUGCAGG